ACGCUCACUUUGGCAGCACAUAUACUAAAGCUGGAAUGAUGCCAAGUUUAGCACAGUUCCUGCACAAGGAUGAUGUGGGAAUUCAUGAAGCAUUCAAACAUUUA
rnacentral:snRNA from 1 species